CCUACGGGAGGCAGCAGUAAGGAAUAUUGCGCAAUGGGCGAAAGCCUGACGCAGCGACGCCGCGUGGGGGAUGAAGGUCUUCGGAUUGUAAACCCCUUUCGGGAGGGAAGAUGGAAUGAGCAAUCAUUCGGACGGUACCUCCAGAAGCAGCCACGGCUAACUUCGUGCCAGCAGCCGCGGUAAUACGAAGGUGGCAAGCGUUGUUCGGAUUUACUGGGCGUACAGGGAGCGUAGGCGGUUUAGUAAGCCCUUUGUGAAAUCUCCAGGCUUAACCUGGAACAGUCGGAGGGGACUGCUAAGCUAGAGUACGGGAGAGGAGCGCGGAAUUCCCGGUGUAGCGGUGAAAUGCGUAGAGAUCGGGAGGAAGGCCGGUGGCGAAGGCGGCGCUCUGGAACGUUUCUGACGCUGAGGCUCGAAAGCGUGGGGAGCAAACAGGAUUAGAUACCCUGGUAGUCCACGCCUUAAACUAUGAAUACUAAGUGUCGGCGGUUUACCGCCGGUGCCGCAGCUAACGCAUUAAGUAUUCCGCCUGGGAAGUACGGCCGCAAGGUUGAAACUCAAAUGAAUUGACGG
rnacentral:rRNA from 1 species